UACGUAGGGCGCAAGCGUUGUCCGGAAUUAUUGGGCGUAAAGAGCUCGUAGGCGGCCAGUUGCGUCUGCUGUGAAAUCCCGGGGCUCAACCCGGGCGUGCAGUGGAUACGGGCUGGCUAGAGGCAGGCAGGGGAGAACGGAAAUUCCGGGUGUAGCGGUGAAAUGCGCAGAUAUCGGGAGGAACACCGGUGGCGAAGGCGGUUCUCUGGGCCUGUACUGACGCUGAGGAGCGAAAGCUAGGGGAGC
rnacentral:rRNA from 1 species